rnacentral:rRNA from 1 species
GACGAAGGUGGCGAGCGUUGUUCGGAAUCACUGGGCAUAAAGCGCACGUAGGCGGCGGCGUAAGUCGGGUGUGAAAUCCCUCGGCCCAACCGAGGAACUGCGCCCGAUACUGCGUUGCUUGAGGGCCAAAGGGGUGCAUGGAAUUCCCGGUGGAGCGGUGAAAUGCGUUGAUAUCGGGAGGAACGCCGGCGGCGAAAGCGGUGCACUGGUUGGCUUCUGACGCUGAUGUGCGAAAGCCAGGGGAG